rnacentral:tRNA from 1 species
GGCAGCAUGGUUUAGUGGAAAAGAUGCUUAAUUUAUAGUCAAUUGACCUGGGUUCAAGUCCUAUUUCUGCCA